CUUGAUCGACCCCAACCACAACGGCUCACCACGAUCCUGCCCAUAGGUCGCCAACAACGCCUGCGCCUC
rfam:Mycobacterium arosiense ATCC BAA-1401 = DSM 45069 Mycobacterium_arosiense_DSM45069_contig16, whole genome shotgun sequence.